rnacentral:rRNA from 1 species
AGAGUUUGAUCCUGGCUCAGGAUGAACGCUAGCGGCAGGCUUAACACAUGCAAGUCGAGGGGUAUAAUUCCUCGGAAUUAGAGACCGGCGCACGGGUGCGUAACGCGUAUGCAAUCUACCUUUUACAGCGGGAUAGCCCAGAGAAAUUUGGAUUAAUACCUCAUAGCAUAGCAGCUUCGCAUGAAGCCGCUAUUAAAGUCACAACGGUAAAAGAUGAGCAUGCGUCCCAUUAGCUAGUUGGUAAGGUAACGGCUUACCAAGGCUACGAUGGGUAGGGGUCCUGAGAGGGAGAUCCCCCACACUGGUACUGAGACACGGACCAGACUCCUACGGGAGGCAGCAGUGAGGAAUAUUGGACAAUGGGCGCAAGCCUGAUCCAGCCAUGCCGCGUGCAGGAUGACGGUCCUAUGGAUUGUAAACUGCUUUUAUACGAGAAGAAACACUCCAACGUGUUGGAGCUUGACGGUAUCGUAGGAAUAAGGAUCGGCUAACUCCGUGCCAGCAGCCGCGGUAAUACGGAGGAUCCAAGCGUUAUCCGGAAUCAUUGGGUUUAAAGGGUCCGUAGGCGGUUUAAUAAGUCAGUGGUGAAAGCCCAUCGCUCAACGGUGGAACGGCCAUUGAUACUGUUAAACUUGAAUUAUUAGGAAGUAACUAGAAUAUGUAGUGUAGCGGUGAAAUGCUUAGAGAUUACAUGGAAUACCAAUUGCGAAGGCAGGUUACUACUAAUUGAUUGACGCUGAUGGACGAAAGCGUGGGUAGCGAACAGGAUUAGAUACCCUGGUAGUCCACGCCGUAAACGAUGGAUACUAGCUGUUGGGAGCAAUCUCAGUGGCUAAGCGAAAGUGAUAAGUAUCCCACCUGGGGAGUACGUUCGCAAGAAUGAAACUCAAAGGAAUUGACGGGGGCCCGCACAAGCGGUGGAGCAUGUGUUUAAUUCGAUGAUACGCGAGGAACCUUACCAAGGCUUAAAUGUAGAUUGACCGAUUUGGAAACAGAUCUUUCGCAAGACAAUUUACAAGGUGCUGCAUGGUUGUCGUCAGCUCGUGCCGUGAGGUGUCAGGUUAAGUCCUAUAACGAGCGCAACCCCUGUUGUUAGUUGCCAGCGAGUCAAGUCGGGAACUCUAACUAGACUGCCAGUGCAAACUGUGAGGAAGGUGGGGAUGACGUCAAAUCAUCACGGCCCUUACGCCUUGGGCUACACACGUGCUACAAUGGCCGGUACAGAGAGCAGCCACUGGGCGACCAGGAGCGAAUCUAUAAAACCGGUCACAGUUCGGAUCGGAGUCUGCAACUCGACUCCGUGAAGCUGGAAUCGCUAGUAAUCGGAUAUCAGCCAUGAUCCGGUGAAUACGUUCCCGGGCCUUGUACACACCGCCCGUCAAGCCAUGGAAGCUGGGGGUGCCUGAAGUCGGUGACCGCAAGGAGCUGCCUAGGGUAAAACUGGUAACUAGGGCUAAGUCGUAACAAGGUA